rnacentral:rRNA from 1 species
GAUGAACGCUAGCGGCAGGCCUAAUACAUGCAAGUCGAACGGUUGUAGUGAUACAAUAGUGGCGCACGGGUGCGUAACACGUAUGCAACCUACCUUAUAGACGGGGAUAGCCUUUGGAAACGGAGAUUAAUACCCGAUAGUAACCUUGAUUGGCAUCAAUUAAUGUUUAAAGAUUUAUCGCUAUAAGCUGGGCAUGCGUCCAAUUAGUUAGUUGGUUAGGUAAUGGCUGACCAAGACGAUGAUUGGUAGGGGAACUGAAAGGUUAAUCCCCCACACUGGCACUGAGAUACGGGCCAGACUCCUACGGGAGGCAGCAGUAGGGAAUAUUGGGCAAUGGAGGCAACUCUGACCCAGCCAUGCCGCGUGCAGGAUGAAGGCGUUAUGCGUUGUAAACUGCUUUUAUAUAGGAAGAAAAUAGACCUUGCGAGGGUAAGUUGACGGUACUACAUGAAUAAACACCGGCUAACUCCGUGCCAGCAGCCGCGGUAAUACGGGAGGGUGCAAAGCUUUGNCCGGAUUUUAUUGGGGUUUAAAAGGGUGCGUAAGCGGUUU